CACAACUACCCAAAACUAAGCAUUUUGGGUAGGUGGGGUGAGCGUGCAGACUCAGCCGUAAAAAAGAGUAACCUACCAUCUGGCAAGGUUGGCUACGCUUUUUUGGUCAUGACACCCAAGAAUGAACGCUAGUUUUUGGCACUGUCGGAACUAUCAACGAAAGGCGAGACAUCGAAGAGAAGCCCUCUGAUACUCCAUAACAAGCCUUAGAAGCAUUGUCGAAGCUAACAUUACUUUACUUUGGA
rnacentral:sRNA from 1 species